GUAUCAUACAUGUGUGUUUUCCACAGACCUUUUUUUGCAAUAAUCCAAAACCCAAUGGAUAACUCCCAUUGGCUUUUUGACGAGGGAACCAGGGCGAUGCUAACUUCCUGGUCGGCCUACAAAAAGACGUCUUCCCUUGAGCACUCUAUGAUGAAGAUGUAAAGAGUGGAGGUCGGUUGCGUGUGCCUUUUAGCGCAUGUGAGCCUGCCCCACUGGCUCACCAUCGGCGUCCUGCACCAUCCCGACUGACAGCGUUGUCGCAGAAGUGUAGCACCCACCCUCCGGUUCCUCCUCAGAUUUUGGCAGCUGGACAGUCAGAGGACAGCGUUUAGAUAUUAAAACUGUAACGAGAGGAACAAAAAUUGGAAUUUGAAAAGUGCGGGAUAUGUUGGGAGGAAAGUUUAACUUUCUAUGAUAGAUAGUUGUCAGUAUAUUAUAUUCAUCAUUACGUGCCUAACAUUAACUUAAUGCAUGAGAAAGACGGCACGGAGAACGUUUAGUAUCAGAGGGAAAAGCAAAAAUGACAAAAUAAAUGAAAAUGUCCUGCAACUAAAUGUUUCUGUAAUGAAGCACACUGUGUGACUAUGUAUUGUCCCCAUUUUACUUCUGUGAUCAUUAAAUGUGCAUUCACA